rnacentral:rRNA from 1 species
UACAGGGGGGGCAAGCGUUGUUCGGAAUUACUGGGCGUAAAGGGCCAGUAGGCGGCCAACUAAGUCACACGUGAAAUCCCCAGGCUUAACCUGGGAACUGCGUGUGAUACUGGAUGGCUUGAAUUCGGGAGAGGGAUGCAGAAUUCCAGGUGUAGCGGUGAAAUGCGUAGAUAUCUGGAGGAACACCGGUGGCGAAGGCGGCAUCCUGGACCAAUUCUGACGCUGAGGAGCGAAAGCCAGGGGAGCAAACGGG